AUGAAUUCUUUUUUAACAAAGCUACAUAGAAUAUAUAAGUGCUUUAAUCAAUGGCAGUCACACACAUCAAAACAUAUGGUUCUUGCCGACAGGAUCUGUAUAGUUACCAGAUUUUCUGUGUGAUGGUUCCAUACAUG